AUCGAACGCUGGCGGCAUGCUUUACACAUGCAAGUCGAACGGCAGCGCGGGCUUCGGCCUGGCGGCGAGUGGCGAACGGGUGAGUAAUGCAUCGGAACGUGCCCAGUAGUGGGGGAUAGCCCGGCGAAAGCCGGAUUAAUACCGCAUACGACCUGAGGGUGAAAGCGGGGGACCGAAAGGCCUCGCGCUAUUGGAGCGGCCGAUGUCGGAUUAGCUAGUUGGUGGGGUAAAGGCUUACCAAGGCGACGAUCCGUAGCUGGUCUGAGAGGACGACCAGCCACACUGGGACUGAGACACGGCCCAGACUCCUACGGGAGGCAGCAGUGGGGAAUUUUGGACAAUAGGGGCAACCCUGAUCCAGCCAUGCCGCGUGCGGGAAGAAGGCCUUCGGGUUGUAAACCGCUUUUGUUCGGGAAGAAAUCCUCUGGGCUAAUACCCCGGGGGGAUGACGGUACCGGAAGAAUAAGCACCGGCUAACUACGUG
rnacentral:rRNA from 1 species